rnacentral:rRNA from 1 species
ACGAACGCUGGCGGCGUGCUUAACACAUGCAAGUCGAACGCUGAAGCUCAGCUUGCUGGGUGGAUGAGUGGCGAACGGGUGAGUAACACGUGAGUAACCUGCCCUCUUCUUUGGGAUAACGCCCGGAAACGGGUGCUAAUACUGGAUAUUCACUGAUUCUCGCAUGGGGGUUGGUGGAAAGGUUUUUUCUGGUGGGGGAUGGGCUCGCGGCCUAUCAGCUUGUUGGUGGGGUGAUGGCCUACCAAGGCUUUGACGGGUAGCCGGCCUGAGAGGGUGACCGGUCACAUUGGGACUGAGAUACGGCCCAGACUCCUACGGGAGGCAGCAGUGGGGAAUAGUGCACAAUGGGCGAAAGCCUGAUGCAGCGACGCCGCGUGAGGGAUGGAGGCCUGCGGGUUGUAAACCUCUUUCGCUCAUGGUCAAGCCGCAGCUUUGGGUUGUGGUGAGGGUAGUGGGUAAAGAAGCGCCGGCUAACUACGUG